rnacentral:lncRNA from 1 species
AAGAGGCGCCAGGGGCCGAUGCUGUGACCCCUGCACUCUCCCCUAGUUGGUGUACAUGGGUUUUGAUGCACUUGUGGCCGAAGCUGCGCUGAGAGUGUUCAGAGGCAACGUCCAGCUGGCCGCCCAGACCCUUGCUCACAACGGAGGAAGCCUGCCUCCCGAGCUGCCGCUGUCGCCAGAAGACUCUUUGUCCCCGCCAGCCACAUCCCCUUCUGACUCCGCAGGAACCUCUAGUGCCUCAACAGACGAAGACAUGGAGACAGAGGCCGUCAAUGAGAUACUGGAAGACAUUCCAGAGCAUGAGGAAGACUAUCUUGACUCAACUCUGGAAGACGAAGAAAUUAUUAUUGCAGAGUACCUAUCCUAUGUAGAAAACAGGAAGUCAGCAACAAAGAAAAACUAAAUAAUGAACAGAAAUAGCGCUAAUUUUCUGCUUAUAAAUGCUAUCAUUAUGAAAAGGCUAAUGCAGCUCUUUCUGUUCUUACCUUUUAUCUGAAUUGCAAGUCCUCUUUGGGUGUAGGAGGGGGUGGGCAGGGGACAAGUCCAGGAGGGGUCCCAGGGCCUUCAUGCGUGGUCUCGGGGAAGAAGCUUCCUCUGGCCUGGCGCAGGCCGUUCCAUCUGCCUCCCAGGUCUGCGUCCCUAACCCCUUCCCCAGCUUGGUGUUUUACCCCGAAACAGGAAGGAACAGGGGUCCUGUGGAACAGGGGUCCUGGGGAAGGUGUCCAGGGCAGGGUCCUGGGAAGGGUGUCCCGACCACUUCCUCUCCAGCUGUGGCUCCAUCUGCCCAGCUUGCCUACCUCCUGCACCCACUGCCCAUGACCUUCCUGCUUCCCACGCUGCCAUCUCUGCCAGGGUGCCCCAUGGGUUCCUGUGCCACCCUUUCCCCGCCCCUCAAAUCGUCCUUUAAGUAAGUCUUCCUUCCAAGUGCUGUGGGGCAUAACGAUGAGGCACUGGCCUUGGGGGCCACACCAGGUCGCAGCAAAUGCCUUCAGCCUGGGACGCCAGUGUUUUAUGCUCUUAGUUCAGUAAAAUACGCCCCCAAAAUUCAAGAUUGAGUGUCAGGCUUUAUAUAUAUUCAGCAUUCCUCAUUACAGAAAUCUUUUAUUGAAUGGGAAAGGUUUAAAUGCUAACCAAAGCAAUUUAUUUUUAAUUAAUAUUUUUAGACUGUGCUGUCAUACUGAACUCACUGCUAGCUAAGAGACCUAUCAGAGAUUUAGAUAUAUUUUCUCCAGGUUUUUUGUGGGGUUUUUUUUUGUUGUUGUUGUUCCAGCCAUGUGACAGAGGCUCUUUCUAAAAGUAUGUAGUUCGCUGUGUGUCGGCUCCAGCAGUAACCGUCCUCACUGCGCCACGCACUCCUCUGUAGAUGUGUGCCCAGUGGGAGUUCCUUCCAGCCCCAGGACCGCAGCAGCAGCCAGGUGCCGAGUGGAUUGAGUGCCAGGUGUAUCCAAGACUUUCCCUCCCUUCCAGAAGGCACUGGCUGAAGACAGGAUGGAUCAUGCGGAGCCGGCUGAAAUGCUCCAACUUUUUCAAAGUGUGGGUGGUCCAGUUUGGACUGAUGGGAAUCUUCUUGUCAUUCUUUUUAAACGGAUGAUACCGAUGGAAAUAAAAGGAUGUCUGUUUCCACUGAGUUUUG